GCUGUAGCUCAGUGGUAGAGCCCAUGCUUUGAAUGCAGAAGGUCCUAGCUUCAAUCCCCAGCGUUUCCA
rnacentral:tRNA from 1 species